rnacentral:lncRNA from 1 species
CCUUUGGGAUCUCAGUCUUAAGUUCUUUUUCCUUUAUAAUUUUAUCUAGCUUUUUAUUAACUUCUAAUAAUAAUAUUAUUAAUGUAUUAUUCUGUUUUAAUAUUAUUUGAUCAGCUUUACCUUGAGGAGUAUAGUUACCUAGUCCUUCUGGAUUGGGUUGAAUUUUUGCUGUUAAUUUUAACACUUCUUCAUAUAUAGGAUCUAAUUCUAUAUGUAUAUCACUCAUGAAAGAGCGAUUUCUUUUAUUGUGUCUAUCUUUUCUUUAAGUGCG